AUCCCAGCUGACUUCGGGCGGAAGGCGGACUACAGCCGGAACUGGUCGCCUGUUCGUCACAGGGCAUGUUUCUUCUUAAAAAAACCACCAAAAAUUUAUAGUAAUAUAACAUAUUUUGAAAGCACAGACCAUUUUUUUGGGGGUGGGUGGGGCAUGAAAUAGAAAUAGAAAAUAGAUGGAUGGAUGGAUGCACUAUGCCUGCAAAAACAAAAGUGUUUCCCUCCAAGCCUCCACUGUACACGAUGUAAUUGAUUUUGCCUGAAGCUGUCAGUAAUGCGUGUGAAAUAUAUGCUGGAUCGGUCGGUCUUUCCAUUUUCCUGGCAGACGCAUAACUCGUUCCCUGCACUUCCUCAUGAGACACACCUGGCAACCUGGCAACUACUUGGUGAAGCAUCAAACAGCAGAUAGGCAGCAUACCAACAAAACGACAGUACGGUAAUGUAUUCUGAUUUAGGAAGGGGUCCAGCAGACGGCAAGGCGUGUUCAACGAAAGGCGGUUUUGAGGGUGGCUUAAAUGGAUGAAGAGAAGGAAAAAUUUGAAAAGACUGGGAAUCACUGCACUAGUGUUGAGGAUUCCUUCACCUGACUUAUUUUUCCCUCCUUGACACGCACGGGACACCGCACCAUGGGUGUGGCCCAGCCUUCGAGAAUGCAGGUAGGUGUACUCCAGUCUUUAAAAAUAGCACAGGGGGUGCGGGGGAGACUUGCAUUUCACCGAGAGACAAAUGACAAGUCAUUCGCAUGCGUGUGUUGGUGUUUACAGUGUGUUUAUGUCAGGGAGGACCGUGUGAACGUCGCCUGAUUGUGUCAAACGCUGACGCAUGGCAGGAGUGUGUGACGGCUCCAUGAUCCGAGACGGAGACACACACAGCCAAGCCAUGACAAGAAUGUGCGCCGGCGUGGGAGCAGAGAAGCUGCAAGCAGGCAUGCACAUCGCCAGAAAAAAAAAUGUAUAGAAAUGUACAGCACAACAUUUGACAACUUCUUACCAACUGCCGGAAUAUUUCCAAUUUUUAUCAUCAUGAUUAUUAACAAUGCCAAACAGAGUCUUUGUGACUCACUUCACUGGACUUUGAUUUUGAGGGUUUUGAUGGCAGGCUCCUAUAUUUACAUCAAGUCAAGUUCAACUUUAUUGUCAAAUGCGCUGUAC